GGUCCCUUAGCUCAGUUGGUCAGAGCCCCCGACUCAUAAUCGGGUUGUCCUGGGUUCAAGUCCCUGAGGGACCACCA
rnacentral:tRNA from 1 species